rnacentral:rRNA from 1 species
GUGAGGAAUAUUGGUCAAUGGCCGAGAGGCUGAACCAGCCAAGUCGCGUGAAGGAAGAAGGAUCUAUGGUUUGUAAACUUCUUUUAUACGGGAAUAAAGUUUCCUACGUGUAGGAUUUUGUAUGUACCGUAUGAAUAAGCAUCGGCUAACUCCGUGCCAGCAGCCGCGGUAAUACGGAGGAUGCGAGCGUUAUCCGGAUUUAUUGGGUUUAAAGGGAGCGCAGACGGGAGAUUAAGUCAGUUGUGAAAGUUUGCGGCUCAACCGUAAAAUUGCAGUUGAUACUGGUUUCCUUGAGUGCAGUUGAGGCAGGCGGAAUUCGUGGUGUAGCGGUGAAAUGCUUAGAUAUCACGAAGAACCCCGAUUGCGAAGGCAGCUUGCUAAACUGUAACUGACGUUCAUGCUCGAAAGUGUGGGUAUCAAACAGGAUUAGAAACCCCGGUAGUCC